rnacentral:rRNA from 1 species
GAUGAACGCUGGCGGCGUGCUUAACACAUGCAAGUCGAACGGUGAACCUCGUCGGAGGGGAUCAGUGGCGAACGGGUGAGUAACACGUGGGCAACCUGCUCCCGGCUCUGGGAUAACUCCAAGACAUCGGGGCUAAUACCGGAAGUUCACCGCUUCCCGCAAGGGUGGUGGUGAAAAGGGUUCGCUGCAUGAGAUGGGCCCGCGGACUAUCAGCUAGUCAGCCGAGUAGAGGCCUACCAAGGCGACGACGGGUAGCCGGCCUGGGAGCGUGACCGGCCACCCUGGGCCUGCGGCACGGCCCAGACUCCAACGGGACGCAGCGGUGGGGAAUAUUGCGCAGUGAGCCGGAGCCUGACACAGCGGCGCCGCGUGCGGGAUGCCGUGCUUCGGGUUGUAAACCUCUUUCAGCGGAACCGAGGCGCAAGUGACGGUACCUGCAGAGGAAGCACCGGCUAACUACGUG